rnacentral:misc_RNA from 1 species
UUAAGUUCAGCGGGUAGUCCUGCCUGAUUUGAGAUCAUUGACAAGGCGGUGCACGCAUCGACCAACGGUUAGAUUGCCACGACGCGCGCACGCUGCAUUCGGGGCGAUCAGUGGUGAAGGCCCAGCUCUCCGACUGGCGACAAUCGGAACGGUGGAAAUGAUUCUCAAACAGGCAUACCCCCCAGCAAGAGCCAAGGGGU